rnacentral:rRNA from 1 species
GAAUAUUGGACAAUGGGGGGAACCCUGAUCCAGCCAUGCCGCGUGUGUGAAGAAGGCCUUUUGGUUGUAAAGCACUUUAAGCGCGGAGGAGGCUACUCUAGUUACUACCUAGAGAUAGUGGACGUUACUCGCAGAAUAAGCACCGGCUACCUCUGUGCACUCCGCCGCGGGAAUCCAGAGGGUGCAAGCGUUAAUCGGAUUUAAUGGGCGUAAAGCGCGCGUAGGGGGGCAAAUAAGGAAAAUGUGGAAUCCCCGAGCGUCACUUGGGAAUUGGAUUCGGUACUGGGUUGGUAAAGUAUGGGGGAGGAUGGUAGAAUUCCCGGGGGAGGCGUGAAAAGCGGAGAGGUCUGGAAGAAAACCCAAGGCGAAGGGAGCCAUCCGGGCUAAUACCGACACCUAAGUGCGGAAGCAUGGGGAGCAAACA